GCUUAACACAUGCAAGUCGAACGGAAAGGCCCUGCUUUUGUGGGGUGCUCGAGUGGCGAACGGGUGAGUAACACGUGAGUAACCUGCCCUUGACUUUGGGAUAACUUCAGGAAACUGGGGCUAAUACCGGAUAGGAGCUCCUGCUGCAUGGUGGGGGUUGGAAAGUUUCGGCGGUUGGGGAUGGACUCGCGGCUUAUCAGCUUGUUGGUGGGGUAGUGGCUUACCAAGGCUUUGACGGGUAGCCGGCCUGAGAGGGUGACCGGCCACAUUGGGACUGAGAUACGGCCCAGACUCCUACGGGAGGCAGCAGUGGGGAAUAUUGCACAAUGGGCGGAAGCCUGAUGCAGCAACGCCGCGUGCGGGAUGACGGCCUUCGGGUUGUAAACCGCUUUCGCCUGUGACGAAGCGUGAGUGACGGUAAUGGGUAAAGAAGCACCGGCUAACUACGUGCCAGCAGCCGCGGUGAUACGUAGGGUGCGAGCGUUGUCCGGAUUUAUUGGGCGUAAAGGGCUCGUAGGUGGUUGAUCGCGUCGGAAGUGUAAUCUUGGGGCUUAACCCUGAGCGUGCUUUCGAUACGGGUUGACUUGAGGAAGGUAGGGGAGAAUGGAAUUCCUGGUGGAGCGGUGGAAUGCGCAGAUAUCAGGAGGAACACCAGUGGCGAAGGCGGUUCUCUGGGCCUUUCCUGACGCUGAGGAGCGAAAGCGUGGGGAGCGAACGGGCUUAGAUACCCUGGUAGUCCACGCUGUAAACGGUGGGUACUAGGUGUGGGGUCCAUUCCACGGGUUCCGUGCCGUAGCUAACGCUUUAAGUACCCCGCCUGGGGAGUACGGCCGCAAGGCUAAAACUCAAAGGAAUUGACGGGGCCCCGCACAAGCGGCGGAGCAUGCGGAUUAAUUCGAUGCAACGCGUAGAACCUUACCUGGGUUUGACAUGGAUCGGGAGUGCUCAGAGAUGGGUGUGCCUCUUUUGGGGUCGGUUCACAGGUGGUGCAUGGCUGUCGUCAGCUCGUGUCGUGAGAUGUUGGGUUAAGUCCCGCAACGAGCGCAACCCUUGUUCACUGUUGCCAGCACGUUAUGGUGGGGACUCAGUGGAGACCGCCGGGGUCAACUCGGAGGAAGGUGGGGAUGACGUCAAGUCAUCAUGCCCCUUAUGUCCAGGGCUUCACGCAUGCUACAAUGGCUGGUACAGAGAGUGGCGAGCCUGUGAGGGUGAGCGAAUCUCGGAAAGCCGGUCUCAGUUCGGAUUGGGGUCUGCAACUCGACCUCAUGAAGUCGGAGUCGCUAGUAAUCGCAGAUCAGCAACGCUGCGGUGAAUACGUUCCCGGGGCUUGUACACACCGCCCGUCAAGUCAUGAAAGUUGGUAACACCCGAAGCCGGUGGCCUAACCGUUGUGGGGGAGCCGUCGAAGGUGGGACUGGUGAUUAGGACUAA
rnacentral:rRNA from 1 species